CCUUCUUUCAUAUUCAUUCAUCCAUCUUCCCGUCCACCUUCUCCGAACAAUUGUUUCAUACAAAGAAGAUAUCCAUGGUACAAAUGCUCUACUUAUUACUUAAGUCACGUGACACUGGUUUAGUUGGAAAAUUGUUUUGCUCAGUGAGUUGAUGUAGUUGUGUUCGUCGCGUAUUAACGUUUUUCUAAGUGAUUCUUAUCAGUGAUUUAUGCCAUUUGGUUAAAUCAGGAGUUGUUUGUCACGAAAGCACUGGAGCUGCUUCGUUUACUUGUGUCAUGUGAGCAUUGAACUUCUCACUGAAAUGAUGGGGGAUACCAUUAAUUAGCCAACAGUGAAUACUUUCUGGCAGAGCUAACUUCAACAGCCUUCGAUGAAUUUUUUAAAUUCAUCUGACCAUUUUGGAACCUGUAGUGUUGUUCUUGGGACGAUUAAACACUGACAGAAAGCAUCGAUGAGGUACGAAUAUUGUCUUUGUGUAUAUCCUAUUCAUUAAUCUUUUUCUUCUUCUUUGCCUU